AUGACAUAAGUAUAUUGUUGAGGAUUUAAUAAGAAAGUGGAACAAAUAAUAAUGGUGAUCAAAAUUAUGUGUAGAACAAACAAAUAUUCAAUCCAAAGAUAAUAACAACCAUAAACUUACGAAUGUGGAGAGAGCAGUUCUCCAUUGCACUAUCGAUGAGUCUUUACAAGAGAUACAAAAGAGUUGCAAUAAAUUUGCUUCUAAUGUUUAACAUGAACAAACUCUAAAUUCUACCAUUUUUCCUUUCUCUCAACCAUUAAUGAUUUUCACUCACCUAAGGUGUUUAGAAUGUCUUUCCCAACUCUAGACGUCACUCGAUCCUUAGCCCUUGUGUUUCCUUAAAAGUUCUA
rnacentral:lncRNA from 1 species